rnacentral:hammerhead_ribozyme from 1 species
AUCCAGCUGAUGAGUUCCAAAUGGGACGAAACGUGCGUCUUGAAU